UGGGAAACCACAUGGAAUUAGGUCAUUUUGUCUUGCCUCCUUCCCAAAGAGCCUUUAUUUAUUGUUUCUACAUUACACCUUGACUAAAUGUUAUUCCAGAAUUUGGAUGUUAAAGCAUUUUCCCAUUUUAUGCCUGCAGCCUCCCCGGAACCGCACAAGCUACCCAUGAGGAGGUACAUACCACAGCAGGGGAUCUGGCACAGUGUGUGUUCAAAAGACAGGUUGAUGUAGUGCUGGGAGAUAUGGUUUAGUGAUGGUGUUGCUUUUUGUUUGUUGUGCGGGUGUCUAUUUUUGUCAGUUAGGUUGAUGGUUGAACAAAAUGAUCUUUAAGGUCCCUUCCAACCUAGAAGAUUCUGUGAUUCUGCGUGUGUGUCUUCCUCUGCUUGGAAAGAGCAGGGACAAAUAUUAGUCUGAGAUGAAAGUGAAUGUCUUCACUUCGUUAGGAACAGGGCACUGAUAAUGACUCUGCCUCACAUGCUUGGCUAGCCUUGUGCCAUGCCCUGGGAGGCCGCCAAGCUUGUGUUCAGCUGAUCCCUCGCUAUCUGCGAGGGAAGGCAGAGCCAAUGCCCACUCAACGGGACUUUGUCCUCCUGAUGGCAGGCAGCUUAUGAAACGUCAGCCUUUGCGUGUGCUGGCAUGGCAGAAAGGCUCUGCCCCUCACAAUAACGGCGUUCUCUGUGGACUCAGCUGGGAAAGGCUAGCACAGAGCUAAACCUGAGCACCGGCAGGCUUAGAGCACUUUUCAGCAAGUUCUCAUCAGUUGUUGACAGUGCCCAAGGCAACGACUGCAGGUUGGAUGGGCUUUCCACAGCAGGAGCAGAUGAAUGAUGCUUACCCUACAUUUAUGAGGAGUCAUCUGGCCCGUUCCUACUCUAAAAAACAACAAUCCAGGACCCAAACCUCAGAGGAGAGUCUGAGCUGUGUUCCUGGGCUGCCUGUGGAAGCCUCAGGACAAAGAGCACAUAAUGAAGAGUGAGUUUCUGCCUGCUGACAUCACCUUCGACAGAAACCUGAAGAGAAAGACCUUCAAAUCCCCUGAGACAUGGGGGAUGUGAAGCAGUACAAAGAAACAAGGAAGAUGAAACAACAAAUACCCCCCAGAAUCUGGGGUUAGGGAGCAGGGUAGUGCUACAGCAGAAAGAGAUCCCCGAGCCCCUCAGGGGAUGCGAAAUACCCAUCUGAGGAAAAUAUCUGCUCCUGGUGGCAAUUGCUAAUGUCCUGGAGGAGCCCUGCAGGUUUGAACAAUGGCAGUGGGUGCUGCAGCAGCUCUCAGACAUUGCUCUCCAGGCGGGAUGUUCCGGCUGUUUGUAGUGGUGCCCUGCACUCUGCUGUUGUUCUCCCACUUUGAUAUGAAAGGAAGACGUGGGACUGGGCUUGAUACCUGCCAGAUACAGCCCUGACAGUCCAGGCCAGCUGCAGUGAGAGCUGUGCUGAGCAGAAAAAAGGCAGAUCUGCAGAUUUCUUGCAAAGAGCCCGAGACCGCAAGCAACCCCAGGCUCAGCACCCAGGGAUGGGCAGCCCACUGUCCUCCUCUGCCCAGCUCCUGCAGGCUCCUUCCUCCCCCAAGGGCAGAGCAGCCCACGGUAGGUUGAAGGUGACACUGCCUGGCCAAAAUUAACAUGCUCCUUGCUGCCUAAUCUGUGAGGACCCAUUCCAGGGAGUCCUGAGAAAGCCUCAACCUGUCCUACACAUGGGUGGAGGGCAGAGCAGCACCUUGCUCGCAUUAGCAGUACCAUCACAUGUUACUCUAGGCAAGGAGGGGUAUGAUCACUUACUGGAAAGCUUCCUUAUCCCAGAGAACAGAAUCUAAAGGAAAAACAAUUGGAUUGAAUCCCUGGCUUCCCUGGCGUCAGCACAUAUAACUGAGCUCCCCAAAUAUUGCUUUAACAGGGUUGGAUACAGAGCAGAACAAGGAGGGUGUCUCUUGCACGGCACGGUGACACCAAGCCCAGUUUCGUGUAGUUCAGCAUAAAGGA
rnacentral:lncRNA from 1 species